rnacentral:ncRNA from 1 species
UAACAUCGGCCCCAAGCUGGUGCUAUCUGGAUGUAUAGAUGGCUGAAAUAAGGGAAUCUGGUGGAAUUCCAGAACUGACGCGCAGCGGUAAAAGAGAACGACCCCUCAAUAGACACUGCAUAGAGGAAUAUGCGGGAAGUCGAGGCAGUAGGCUAACAGCUCUUAAGUCCGAAUACCUGCCAGCAGCUGAGCUCAAUC